GAUGAACGCUGGCGGCGUGCCUAAUACAUGCAAGUCGAGCGAACGGACGAGAAGCUUGCUUCUCUGAUGUUAGCGGCGGACGGGUGAGUAACACGUGGAUAACCUACCUAUAAGACUGGGAUAACUUCGGAAAACCGGAGCUAAUACCGGAUAAUAUUUUGAACCGCAUGGUUCAAAAGUGAAAGACGGUCUUGCUGUCACUUAUAGAUGGAUCCGCGCUGCAUUAGCUAGUUGGUAAGGUAACGGCUUACCAAGGCAACGAUGCAUAGCCGACCUGAGAGGGUGAUCGGCCACACUGGAACUGAGACACGGUCCAGACUCCUACGGGGGGCAGCAGUAGGGAAUCUUCCGCAAUGGGCGAAAGCCUGACGGAGCAACGCCGCGUGAGUGAUGAAGGUCUUCGGAUCGUAAAACUCUGUUAUUAGGGAAGAACAUAUGUGUAAGUAACUGUGCACAUCUUGACGGUACCUAAUCAGAAAGCCACGGCUAACUACGUG
rnacentral:rRNA from 1 species